rnacentral:lncRNA from 1 species
CCUUGGAAGGUUUAUAUAUGCUAUAUAUAUUUCAAAGUACACACAAACCGCCUGUUUGGCAGGUUGAGAAAAUAAGAAUACAUCUUGGGAAGGUCAUGAAGGAAAAACAAACACAAAGGAAACCAAGAGUUAUUUACAUUCAAGAAUUCAGUAGCCUUUAACAUCUCUAUAUACAUACAUACUCUCCCGAUAUAUGUACAGACUGCGACGGGAUCUGAAUGAAGCUUAUUCCAAACGCAACAGAAAGAUACAAAACCCCCCCUUGGUAAUUCACUUGACAAACGUUUACAGGUUGCAGAGCUUUUCUUCAUUUACAAAGGAAAUACUACACGCUGACAACUGGCAUCUGUGGGGAACUCGGAGUCCUUACGAGAGGUGUGUGUUCCCAAUGGACUGUGCAGAGAUUGGAGGAACAAACUGCAAACUUGCUGUGCAGAGAGGGGUUUAAUGGGAUGCAAUUGCAGUUACUGUGUCAGACACAUCUGAAGUAUGAAAUGAUUUAACAAGUCAAAGUUUAGUUGCUGUCAAGGGACAGCUUAAAAGAGAAAACCCCGAAUUUUAUCCCUUCGAUUCUCAAGUUAACUUAAAUCUGCAUCUUCCCCUUCUACAGCACAGUUCCAAAAGUCACGCAGCACAGAAGUUACUACUGGUUUACAUUUAGCUUUUCCCCUGUUAAGACACAUCUAUCCUUUAUAAAUUUGAUACCCAUUUCAGAUGGUGAUUUGUACAAAGCAGAUCAAUGCCCCACAAGGAAGAACAGAGAGACCAUAAUUUGUAUGACAUGACAGUCGGUCUCUCCUCUUUCCUCCCUCUGAGGAUGUUUGUCUUCUGAGCAGUGCUGCAGGAGGAUACUGCAGAGCUGUUCCUUAUCCCAUCCCCACUGCUAUUUAUAUCCCUUUUCUCCCCCAAGCUUUAUCAGCAGCUCAUACAAGGAACAAAAUACUACCCAAAAACCACACCCCAACCACCGAGCAGGAAUUUUCAAGAGAAAAUGUUUCUGUAGCUUGAAGGCUCUUUUCUUUUUGAUGUUAACCUUUAAGUUGUUAGAACACUCCCGAGCUGUGGGUGCAGGUGUGUUAGUAACUGAAUGACAAAGCCAAGGCAUGGAUGGUGGCGAGUAGCAGAGAGCAGGCAAAGGAGAGCAAGGAGGGGAACAGAUCUUAGGAAUGGGAACAGUUCUUAUGGAUCUUUUAAGUGCUGGUGGGGUUUUUCCCCCCAGGGGACACUAGUCCAUAGGAAUUUAAGCAGGUGUGAACAAACAGCUUUCAACUCCCAAAGCAGUGUGGCUUGGUUAUCC